rnacentral:rRNA from 1 species
UACGUAGGGUGCGAGCGUUAAUCGGAAUUACUGGGCGUAAAGCGUGCGCAGGCGGUUUUGCAAGCCGGAUGUGAAAUCCCCGGGCUUAACCUGGGAACUGCAUUGGUGACUGGCAGGCUUUGAGUGUGGCAGAGGGAGGUAGAAUUCCACGUGUAGCAGUGAAAUGCGUAGAGAUGUGGAGGAAUACCGAUGGCGAAGGCAGCCUCCUGGGCCAACACUGACGCUCAUGCACGAAAGCGUGGGGAGCAAACAGG